GCACCUUUUCAUUUUCCAGCAAAUGCUUAAAUAUCAACUGUGGCCCAGUGAAUCUACUAUCAAUUUCAUUUGAGAAUUAGAGGCGAAGAACACAUAAUAAUUACAUGGUGUAUUAUUCACAAAUAUGGGAAUAUCACAGAGGUGACUCCUUCCAUUUUAGCCUGUUAAGACUAUCCACUAUCGCCCUGCGAAAUGAACCAUUGUGGAGAAGGAAGGACGAUACAUGCCCUCCUCUAACCCAUCUAACUUCUGAG
rnacentral:misc_RNA from 1 species